rnacentral:rRNA from 1 species
AGAGUUUGAUCCUGGCUCAGGAUGAACGCUAGCGAUAGGCUUAACACAUGCAAGUCGAGGGGCAGCAGGGCUUUCGGGCCGCUGGCGACCGGCGCACGGGUGCGUAACGCGUAUGCAACUUGCCUUACAGAGGAGGAUAACCCGUUGAAAGACGGACUAAUACUGCGUAUGCUCACAGGGAGGCAUCUCCUGGUGAGGAAAAGAAAUUCGCUGUAAGAUAGGCAUGCGUCCCAUUAGCUAGAUGGUGAGGUAACGGCUCACCAUGGCGACGAUGGGUAGGGGAACUGAGAGGUUGAACCCCCACACUGGUACUGAGACACGGACCAGACUCCUACGGGAGGCAGCAGUGAGGAAUAUUGGUCAAUGGGCGAGAGCCUGAACCAGCCAAGUCGCGUGAAGGACGAAGGUCUUAUGGAUUGUAAACUUCUUUUAUAGGGGAAUAAAGAUAAGUACGUGUACUUAGUUGAAUGUACCCUAUGAAUAAGCAUCGGCUAACUCCGUGCCAGCAGCCGCGGUAAUACGGAGGAUGCGAGCGUUAUCCGGAUUUAUUGGGUUUAAAGGGUGCGUAGGCGGUCUGUUAAGUCAGCGGUGAAAUUUUGGGGCUUAACCCCGAACGUGCCGUUGAAACUGGCGGACUUGAGUGUAGAUGAGGUAGGCGGAAUUCGUGGUGUAGCGGUGAAAUGCAUAGAUAUCACGAGGAACUCCAAUUGCGCAGGCAGCUUACUAAGGUACAACUGACGCUCAAGCACGAAGGCGUGGGUAUCAAACAGGAUUAGAUACCCUGGUAGUCCACGCAGUAAACGAUGAUUACUGGGCGUAUGCGAUAUACAGUAUGCUCCUGAGCGAAAGCGUUAAGUAAUCCACCUGGGGAGUACGCCGGCAACGGUGAAACUCAAAGGAAUUGACGGA